rnacentral:lncRNA from 1 species
ACCUUCCCCUUCCAUCCGAUGAAAAAAAAUCGCCCCUAGGACACCAGUUCAUGGACGUUUUAAAGUCAAUUGUCGUCUCUUUCUUGUCUCAUUCAGUUCUGGGCUCCUGAAGGCUCAUUUAUGCUAAAUGUUACAUACGGAUCUGAAUACGAACUGAGCUUUUUGUCCGUACUUUGUGUUCUUUUCGUCUGUAUUUCUGCAGGUAUCCUUUAAGUUUACAGAUACGGGCCAGACGGAGCAGUACCACAUAAAAACCAUGGGGGCAGUGUUGCUGCUGUCACUACCUGAUACGCACCUCUACAGGGAAACGAUGAAGACAAUGGCGGGGUUCUCUCAUCCGCAGGGUGUUUAGUAGCCUGAGUGACCACCGCCUCCUCCAACGCUGCCUCUGUUUCUGUCUCUUAUGCAGAAUAUACAUCAUCACUCGCUCCUCCACAGUCGCCAUGUUUCUUUUUGUUUGUUGUUGUCAGAAACUUUUGACUCCGUCCUGCCCCCUGGUGGAUGCAAUGGUUAACAUCCAUGCCAACGUAAAGGGCGCACAGAAGUAUGCGAGCAGUGACGGAACCAUCGUUUGAAACGGACGCGUACAUUUUCAUACGUAUGGCGAGCAGAAAUGAGCCUUUAGUCAUAAUUUUUGUGUCAUGAUGCACCAAGAUGUUGGUACUGCAGGCUGGAAAGUUUAGUCCCCGGACUCUUCUACUGCAGAGCCGUGUUCAAAUAAUGCAGACGUAAUAAAGUUUGGUAUCUUAUUCCUGAAUUAUAAAAGAUGUCCUCUAAAAAAAAGGGACGGUCAGGAUGGCAGCAUGUUGCUCGAACAUCUGUUUAUAUAGAUCAGCAUCUAUGAUUCUUUAAAGGGAGCCACACUCCAGGCUCUUAUUCCUCCCAACACCACCACAGAUGCCGACUUUCAAACUGUGCACCUCCUGAUCCCUCUCCUCUUGAAUUGUGACGGCUGCAGCGUCCACGAUUUCCAAAAAGAACAUCAAAUACUGACUUGCCAGACGUCUUGAUGGAUUUUAAUUUCACUUCAGUGCAUCCUAAGAGGACAUUUCUAGAUCAUGUUUUUAUCAUCAGUUUUAUUUUUAUGGGAGGGCUAAUGCAGAGAUUUCCACUGCAGAGGUGUCUUUAUUUAAUACAUUGCUGCCACAGGGCACUAAAGUCAGUUUUGGUUUUAUACAUGGUCCCUUUAAAACAGCCAUUUCUCCAGAUUCUGAGGCUCUUUUAAUAAUAAUAUGUACUUUAGAUGACAGAGUGAUGAGUCUCUUCUCCCUUUUUCUCAAUUUC